rnacentral:rRNA from 1 species
UACGGGGGGGUGCGAGCGUUGUCCGGAAUCACUGGGCGUAAGGGCGCGUAGGUGGUUUGAUAAGGGUGUGGUGAAAGUCCGGAGCUCAACUCCGGAUCUGUCGUGCCGACUGUCAAACUCGAGGGCUGUAGAGGCAGACGGAAUUCCUGGUGUAGCGGUGGAAUGCGCAGAUAUCAGGAGGAACACCGAUGGCGAAGGCAGCUCGCUGGGCAUUAACUGACGCUGAGGAGCGAAAGCAUGGGGAGCGAACAGG